UAAUGAUAGUGAGGGAAAUUUCUAAGCAUGCCCUUAAAUAUCUCACAAGCUUGGUAGAGGUUCUCUCCUUCUUUCUGUUUGAAACUCAGAAUCUCACUUCUCAAACA
rfam:Capsicum annuum cultivar Zunla-1 chromosome 12, whole genome shotgun sequence